GCGAUUUUACGGGCUAACUCGGCGAUCUGGACGAAGAACGAUGUUCCGCACCGUGGGAGCUCUCCGGGGGUCCUGCCAUAGCGACAGAGCCCUAGUCCUUGUUGAGAGGCGUUGAUGGGUAGUGACUGGUGUAAUCAGGCAUGUCUCAACAGUACUCCCCCCUGAAGAGAGCACAAGAAACAUGGUGUAUCACCAGUACCCCCCCGUUAAUCAAGGUUCAAAGUGUUUGAUCCAGCACCAAGGCCAAAGCGACAAGAUGAGAUCGAAUCAUCCGCCCACAGUGACGUAAUGAUUCAGAAUCCAUAGGCCAAAGCGA
rnacentral:lncRNA from 1 species